CUCCAUGCCUCUUCUCACCAUACGCAGGCGCCAUCCUUCGGCCUUCAGUUCCGCUCGCCGUGAGCUCUCACGGCCGCCCCUCCUUUCUCUGGUAUCCAGCUCCAAUUUUUCCCCCAUGGCGCUCGAGCUUCUCCUGGUCCGACUCGAGCUUCCUUUGUGCGGCGCUCCUGUUCCCUGGCUCGCCCCUCCACGCGUCCUUGGCUUCUGCUCGGACUGCGCCCUGACCGAGUCCCUCCAUCGCGCCCUGCGUUUGUCAUAGACGCGCGCAGAUUUCUCAAGGUUUCUCUCAUGGCGCGCCCAGCUCCUCCCCGGCUUCUUCUCUGCGCGCAGCUCGCCCCAGGCCCCAGCUCCCUGUUUCUCCAUGGCGCGCGCCUGACUCCCGGUUCUCGGCGCCCAGCCGCUCCUCCCUCGGCUCGUCUCUCUCUGCUCGCCGGCGCGCGUCCCUCUCUCUCUGCUUGCCGCGUCCGGCCGAGCGUCCCUGCGGGCCGCGGUUUCCUCCCCUGUGCUUUGCUCGUCGCGCCCUGCCCCAGCGUCGACCCCAGCUCGGUUCUGUCCUCAGCUCGGCCUCCAUUUCUGCGUCCAGUCAUCGGACCUCCGCCUCCGCGCUGAGUUCGGCAAGCUCGCCGGGGAUUCGACCGCCGUGGACAAGAUGUUGUCCCCAUAGCGUGAGUCCCGUGCUACAGGCUAUCAGGACUCUGCCGAUAGGCACCUGUUCUGGUCCUGCGCCGGUUGCUGCUCACCUCGAUCCGUCCUCGUCGCGAUAAUUGUAGCCUCACGCAGACCGUCCGGUGGUAAACGACUUGCAUGUGUGUUGAUGAGGAAGGAGGAGAUUAGUUGAAGAAAGAAAAGGCUAGAAUUUUGCUCACCUGGUGCUCGGCGAGAGGCUUGAACCAAAGCAUGUCGGUGGUUCGUGUUUAUCGAGUCCCGAUGUCGAUCUGGUGGUCGUCGAUUUGAAGCUCUGAACGGAUUCGGCCACGUCCAGCACUAUCUGUGUCCUUGUCGUUCGAUGCUGACCAGCAUCGUCGUUUCCCUUCAUGUGCUCAUCCUUCAUCUCCGCCUCGCCAUGGCGCGUGUCAUCAUUUUUAAUUUCAGCAGCUCUUUCGAUACGCGCCUCACCGUGCUUCGCCUCCUCGUGGUCAGCCUUAUCUGGAUCACAGGAGCGGAAGAUCUCAACACUGCUUUAUAUGGCUGUUUUAGAUGCUGUUUGCGGGGUAGAGAGUGUUGUGAUGGAUGGUUUUCGCCCUCUCGUCGUGUUCGCAAUCAUCGUUGAUCGUUGUCGGUUUGAGAGAAAUCACCAGAUGGUGUGGAGAAGGAAGUGAAGCCGCACAACAUCCGUCAGAUGUUCGACGACAAGACUGAGCCAGGAUUUAUCAGCAUUCUUACGAGUAUUGAGUAACGUUUGACGCUGGUGAGCUGAUUUAUAAUUUUUUAAGUUUAUUUGAUGAUUGGAUUAGCUAGACUUAUUAGUCGUAAUAAUUCUUGUGUUUAGGCUAAUUGUAUUAAAUGUGUAUCGUUUGUUGUUUCAUGAUGUUUGCGUUAGAUUCAGUUAAUCUAAAGAAGUGCAAUUAUUGCGCUUAGUCGUAUGUCGAUAACUAGUGUUUUCGUAUAAAAUGGUACGACGCUUCAUCACUAGGUGUUUAAUUCGCUAUCGCAUAGCAUUAUUUAGGCUUGUGAUGUUCCCAUCUAUAUGCAUUCAUGUGCAUACUGCAUUUCAUUCAGGUACGUUAAUUAAUCACGUGAAGCGGAAGACGAGCCAAGUCAACCCCAAGAUGACGUAACGGGUGGACUAAUUCGCAAGAUGAUGCUGGUGGAUUAACCUGAAGAUGGAUAAUCAGAACAAUGCGAAGACAAAAGAUAGUCGCCAAGUGGACGUCGGCUAACAAACACUAACCUAGUGUUAUCCAGGCAAGCCCUAGUGCAUGCAACCCCUUCCUUAUGUUUUUAAAUUAUUUUUACACACUUUAAGUCUAGCGAAAUGUGCAUUAGGUUUAUAGGAGUUGCUUGGAAACCCUUUGAUGCACCUACCUUGAUACCUAUACCUUUAUAGAUACUUCUGAUGAAGUAUCAAAAUAUGAUUUACAAAAAUGCUUAUCCCUGCUUAGAUCUUGUGGAUAGAGGUCGUCUUUUGCAUUAAAAGCCUAGCUCAGGGGUUAUCCUGAGGAAGGAUGACUUCUACCUGCAAGAAUAUUUUCAUUGGGAGCGUGGUGGGAUCAUACUGCAAAGUUCCCUAUAAUGCUCUUUUCGUCCUGAGGAACACAAACAAUCCUAAGGAUGGAAGUAAUUAAAUCGGGACUUGAGCUAGGAACAGGUGAUGUUCUACCCAGGUUGAUUAAGGAUUAUACUGAAUGUAGGCUUGAUGAUCGAUGACCUUUUAACUGGUCACAUGCCUCAUCAUGGGUAAGCUUUGCCUCGGGCAGACUAAUACCAGAAUAAGAUAACACGCAAUGGGAGUGGAGAGAUGGCGAGAGUAGCGUGUACCCUCCGUGGCAAGAGGCUGGAUGGUGGUGUAUUUGUGCUCUCGGUUGGUGUAAACCUGAUCUGGUCUUAAGAACCUCGGUGGCGAGUUGACAUAUGCAAGGGUUAAGUGCUACAUAUGUCGUGUGAUUGGAGAUCCCUAGCUGGGUAUUAAUCGAUUCAGGAUCGCCGUUACUUCUCGGAUAUGAAGACUUGGUCACUGCCCUGCAAUCUAAGUCAUGGAUGGAAUCAUAAUGAGCAAAAAUCAUGUUGUAUUGAUUAACAUGAUGGUGAAAUUAGACUUGAUGCAAACAAGGUCUAUCAAUAUUUAAUCUGGCUUAAAAUAUUGAAAGUAAGGACUCACUUUAGUAAGCUAUUUCUGCAAAAGUAUCUAAGUUGAUUCUUGCUAAAAGCCUCUCCUUGAUUCCUAAAUCCAUCAUACCCUUGAGAGUCUUUUCUUUAGUCGGGUAAGUCUUGCUGAGUAAUUCCAUACUCAGGGUUUUAUUCCCUGUUGUUUUUCAGGUUAUAGUUUUGUGCUGUUGAUGAUGGUGUUAAGUGCUGGUGGGCUCGGCCUUCUUAUAAGUCUAAGUAACCCUUCUAUACUUCUUACUGAGGAUGGUCACUUGAGCUAGCAUAUAUUUCAAAACUACAAAUUAUUUAUAACAGUUCAAAGUUAUUUCCUUAGAAUCACUUUUGUAAUCACUUUGAUCAUGUACAAAGUAAAAUUUUUGUAACUUGUAAAAUUUGGUAAUAAGAUUUCUG
rnacentral:lncRNA from 1 species